rnacentral:rRNA from 1 species
CACUGACGAAAUUCGGACAAUUGGUGAGGCCUGAUCCAGCCAUCCCGCUGAAGACCGACGGCCUAUAGGUUGGUAAACUUCUUUGUAAAGGGAAUAACCCUACCUCGUGAGGGUAGCUGAAAGGUACUAUACGAAAUAAGCACCGCCUAACUCCGUGCCAGCAGCCGCGGUAAUACCGGAAGGGUGGCAAGCGGUUAUCCCGGAUUUAAUCGGGUUAAAGGGUCCGUAGGCGGAUCCUGUAAAGUCAGUGGGUGAAAUCUCACAAGCUUAACUUGUGAAACUGCCCAUUGAUACUGCAGGUCUUGAGUGUUGUUGAAGUAGCUGGAAUAAGUAGUGUAGCGGUGAAAUGCAUAGAUAUUACUUAGAACACCAAUUGCGAAGGCAGGUUACUAAGCAACAACUGACGCUGAUGGACGAAAGCGUGGGGAGCGAACAGGAUUAGAUACCCCUGGUAGUCCACGCCGUAAACGAUGCUAACUCGUUUUUGGAAUGUAAGUUUCAGAGACUAAGCGAAAGUGAUAAGUUAGCCACCUGGGGAGUACGAACGCAAGUUUGAAACUCAAAGGAAUUGACGGGGGCCCGCACAAGCGGUGGAUUAUGUGGUUUAAUUCGAUGAUACGCGAGGAACCUUACCAAGGCUUAAAUGGGAAAUGACAGGUUUAGA